rnacentral:rRNA from 1 species
AGUGAACGUUGGCGGCGUGGAUUAGGCAUGCAAGUCGAGCGAUCGUAGCAAUACGGGAGCGGCAAACGGGGUAGGAAUACAUCGGAACGUACCUUUUGGUUGAGAAUAGCGUUGGGAAACUGACGGUAAUACUCAAUAAAGUCGAGAGACCAAAGGUUUACUGCCGGAAGAGCGGCCGAUGCGAUAUUAGGUAGUUGGUGGGGUAAUGGCCUACCAAGCCUGAGAUGUCUAGGGGGUGUGAGAGCAUGGCCCCACCACUGGGACUGAGAUACUGCCCAGACACCUACGGGUGGCUGCAGUCGAGGAUCUUCGUCAAUGGGCGAAAGCCUGAACGAGCGACGCCGCGUGCGGGAUGAAGGCCCCUUGGGUUGUAAAACCGCUGUCAGGGGGGAUGAAACCGUAAGGUUGACAGAGCCCCAGAGGAAGCACGGGCUAAAGUUCGUGCCAGCAGCCGCGGU